CCCAGGAGGCGGAGGUGGUGGUGAGCUAGGAUCGUGCCACUGCGCUCCAGCCUGGGCAACAAGAGCGAAACUCUGUCUCAAAGAAAAAGAAGUUACUCCUCCCUGAGAAUGGAAUGUUUGCCCCAGGGUGUCCCCAGGAGAGGAGGUCCUGGGCCAUGGGGAUGCACACCCCACCCCUCCUCCCGGCACGGAUGUAACCACAUCCUGGGAGCAGUCCCUUCAGGAACCCUACGUGUCGCCUGCCUGCGCCUGAGUGUAGCUUCUUCCUUCUGUCUCAUUUGCCGGCAUAUCCCCUUUUUCAAACAAUCUAGUGAAGAGUCCCAGUAUAGAAGCCAGGCAGGAAGCAGCUGGUGUUCCGAACUCCACCCCUCCCUCCACGGGACAGCCCGGAAACUGCCACCGUCGCGCGCACUGGGAGUGAAGCUCACCUCUUUUCCUCAAACCAGUCCAUUGUUCUGCCUGUGAGAAAAGCGUGCUGCAAAGGACCACCACAGACCUGCCUGCAGAGCUGUGUAUUUCAGUCCUGUGAAUGAUAGGAAAUACUGUCACGAGUUUGCUGGUCUCUUCAGUCCCUCCGGGAUCAAGCAGGCACUUGGGAAUCAGUCACUUGGCUGCCCAGGUUCAUUUUUUAUACCCUCAUCGCUCAUCUGUCCAGUUCAUGACCCUGUCCAGGGCCCAGCCCCAACAAUGCCCUUGCCGUAACAGGUGAGUGUGGACCACUUCUAAUACCAGGUAUCCAUGUGUAGCCCUCAAUGGAAUUGUUUAUAUCAAGGGACUGAGCAGAUAGGCAAUUAUUUCAACUAGUUCCAUUAAGAACUAUUUAACAGAAUAUGGUUUUCAAAAUGCUUACAUUUGCAUCCAGUCUUGAGCUAUCUACAAGCUUAAAUGUAUGGGUUUACAUUUGAUUUGACUUUGGUAGGGUUGAACACCUUGGGCAGAAGUGGAAGUGAGGACCCGGUAUGGAGACAGUGAAGACCGGAGAUGGGAUGAACCAGACAAUAAUGAAAACCUAGCACAGCCUCUAGGUGCCUCUAACCCACAGAAGUUCGUCUGUGGGUGAGGUGCUGCCUAUUGUAUAUGUCAAGUCUUGUAUUAAGUAGCUGAUGAGCUUAAAAAAAAAAAAAAAAAAAAAAGAAAAAAAAAAAAAAAAA